AUUAGAAGUAAGGGUGCGUUUAUUUAGUUAGAAUUAUGGUUGCCCUUAGUGCAAAAUAAUUACAUGUAUUUAUGUUCUAGGUCAUUAACGAUGGACAAAAGUUGGAUGAACAUUAGGAAUAUGUUAUCGGUUGAGUAUAGAGAGAGCAUUUUCAAAUUCUUAGACGUUAAGAAGUAUCACGUCAAUGAGUACAGACGAAUAAGGUGUCCAUGCAAGAGAUGUAUGAACUCGAAUUGGGACUUAUUAGGGGUGUAAAGAGACAUUUAUUAACCAUUGGAAUGUGCCCCUCCUACACAGAAUUGGUGUAUCAUGGAGAGCCAGUGAACUUGUAUAGAGGUAUAGAAAGAUUUGAUGAAGGAACUAGUAGAGACCAUUUCCACGAAGAAACUAGUAGUGAUCCUUUCAUAUUGAAGGAACCAAUAGUAAUCUGUUUUAUGAAGAUAAUAAAAUGUUUGGAAUGUUGCAUGAUUUAGAAGCUUCGAUUGAACACGAAGAAGAAACAACAAAUGAAGGUUUGGAGAAUGACAUUCCGUUCAAUAGUGGUGUAGAAGAGGAGAUAGAGAAUAUAUUUCAAGAGUUAUUAAACCAAGCUCGUCGUGAGCUAUAUCUCGGUUGUUCAGAAUUUUCAUCCCUCAACUUUUUGGUUACGUUGAUGUACAUCAAGGUUCUUAAUGGUUAGAGUAACAAGUCGUUCUACAUGUUAUUAUAACUGUGUUUUCCAAUGUGUAAUACUACUAUCCCUAGUUUUUCUAUGAAGCAAAACGAAAGUUGUGUGACUUAGGCUUGAGAUAUGAGACUAUUCAUGCAUGGAAGUAUGAUUCUGUGUUGUAUUGAAAGGAGUUCGCCAAUUUGGUACAUUGUCCAACUUGUGGUGAGUCUCAAUACAAGCCUAGUCCUAUUAGAGGGAAACAAUCCUUCACAAGGUAUUACGACACUUUAUGUUGAUUCCAAGAUUACAGAGAUUAUUUGUAUCGCAAAAGAGCUCGUCAGAAAUGAGAUGACAUCAGGAUAAACGAUUAGAAACGGAUGACAUGUUGAGACAUCUAGCUGAUGCAAAGGGAUGGAAGCAUUUUGAUUCUGAAUUUUUGGAGUUUGCAUCAGAUCCACAAAACGUUCGUUUAGGAUUAGCUUCUAAUGGGUUCAAUCCUUUUGGGCAUAUGAGUACCGCUUACAGUAUGUGGCCUGUGGUGUUAAUUCCUUAUAAUUUGCCACUUUGAAAAUGCAUGAAAGAGUCCAACUUCUUCAUGUCAUUGCUAAUACCCGAUCCAAGAUCUCGCGAUAGGAAAAUUGAUGUUUACCUCCAACCAUUGAUUGAGGAACUGAAACAGUUAUGGACUCUUGGUGUUCGUACGUAUGAUUCUCUUACCAAUUAGUUUUCUCAAUUGUACGUAGCUUUUUUAUGGACUACUAAUGACUUUUCGAUGUAUGGUGACCUAUUCUGAUGAAAUAUGAAAAUGUAUCAGGCAUAUCCCAUUUGCAUAGGAGAUAAAUCGUCAUUUGGGAUAUAAGAGGAAAAAAAAGCUUUUAGAUAAUCAUGUAUGGCGUAGAAGUAAGUUACAUGAUGAAAGCGUAGAACAUAGACCUCCUCCAAUUAUUCUGAAUGGGCAUGAUAUCUUGGAAUAAGUAGAUUUCCUUGAGUUUCUAUUGAUGAGUAAACAUCAUCACUAAAAGAUUAAAAAAAAAAAGCUCUAAACUGGAUGAAAAGAAAAAUCUUCUUCGAUCUGUCUUACUGGCCAAGUCUACUAAUACGUAAUAAAUUGGAUGUAAUGCAUAUUGAAAAGAAAAUUUGUGACAACUUGGUAGGUACAUUGUUGAACAUUGAACGAAAAACGAUACUACAGAUGCUCGGUUGGACCUUUAGGAUUUGAAAAUAAGAAAAGAUUUAUAUCUGAUAGAAGUUAGUAACAGAUUAAUGAAGCCCCAUGCAAGUUAUACGUUCACUAGGAGUAAACGAGUUGCAUUUUGUAACUUCCUAAAACCAGUUAAGUUUCCUGAUGGAUUUGUUUCUAAUAUUUCACCAUAUGUGAAUGAGAAAGAUGGAAAAACAUCAAGCCUUUAGACUUACGACUGUCACAUGUUUCUUUAUUGGCUUUUACUUAUUGGUAUUUGAGCACAUUCACCGCAAAAUGUGUACACCGCUGUUAAUGGGAUUGAAACUCAGUUUUCUCAAGAUGAACGAAAUGAUAAUAGCUUUCUCGAGGAGGAUAUAGUUGGUGAGUUUAAAGUGUUUAUGUAGAAGGUACUAUCAUUAGGCACAACAAGUUCAAGAUCUUUAUCACAUUAGAAGAGAAGCGCCAAAUUCAUUGGUACAUCUUGAACAAUGUAGACGAAAUUGCGGAGUACCACAAGUACGUACUUUCAACUCUAAAUACUUCAUAUGAUUUUUUCUCACUUGCAAUGGGACCUUCACUUGACAUUUGGUCCUACACUAGAUGCAUGGUGAGUGGGGUACAAUUUUACGCAAUAAAUCGUGAUUUCUGAUGCACGACACAAAAUAUUAGAGUUAUAGUACUCAGUGAAAGUAGUGCGAAUGGAAGCGACAACAAUAAUUUUUACGGUUUAUUAGAUGAGGUUCUUUUCAUGGCAUAUCCAAUGGGAUGUCGUGUUUGGCUAUUGAAAUGUAGAUGGUUUGAUACGGACAAGAACAAAAAUCAUAGAACACACGUGGAAUUGGGGUGCAAAUCUAUCAACACAUCUCAUUUCUUUUCUUUUUAAAAACCAGUCAUUCUCACAAUCCAGGUACAUCAAGUUUUUUACAUCAAUGACCCAAAAAAUGCUGCCAAUUAGAAGGUUGUUCAGAUAGUCCAAAAUAAACAUAUAUGGGAUGUACCUAAAUGGAUGGAGUUGAGGAUCAACAACUAAAUGUACCCAAACUUGUUGUCGGUCAUCGUGUUGAUGAUCACGUUGAGAACGACACCCUAUGCAGAGUCGAUGUUGAUCUUACAGUGGUGGAAACACCGAUUGUGCGUCAUGUCGUUAACAACUUUAUAAAUGAUGAUGAUGAACAAUUAUCCGUUCAAAGCAGGUCAAGCGAUUACGAAGAGCAAUAACUAAGUAUCACGUAUUCAUAGUUUUUUUUGUUUUUUUAUAUAUUCAGUUUCAAGUACACUCACAUGUUUAAUUAAUUUGGGUUUAUAUGUUCACAAGUAUUGUCUAACUUUCCCUUCAAUUUUGAUGAGAGCGAUGAUCUAUUCGAUUUUAAUACCGAGGAGUUCAAUAUCAUUCAAGGCACGUCAUCGGUUGGUGACACAUAUGAUGCCUCUCAACCUGCUGCUCCCACUCUUAAGAGACGACAACACUUCAGGAACCUGGAGCUAGAUAAAUAUGUUGCAAAAAAUGGGAAGAUCUUCAUAUCUAUCGCUCUAGGCCAGGACAAGUCUAUCUUGCCUCAUGUUGUUCGCUUUAGCAAUACCUUCCACAUGUAACACGAGACACUUUUCCAGUCUGCUUUCUUAAGUGGACUGAUGUGACAUUGGAGUACAUCAAGCUUGUUAAGGACGACUUAUAGAUGCUUACCGUGUGGAAGAAGUUUAGGGGCUAAAGCCACCGGCAUUUCAAGAAGUUCGAUGAUUCUGAAUAGACUCGUGCCAACUCACCCCUAAUUGAGCAAUCAGGUGCAAGAUUAGUACUUCCUCUGCGACCACUACCUCACUCAACAAUUUCAGUUUGGAUGUAGAAGCAAUCAUCGAUGAAUAGGGCUGUUAAAGUGAAGUAGCCCUUCAACCACAGCAGUGGCGCCAAGUCGUUUCCACAAUGAUAACACGACUUCGUUAAACAGCAGGGUCAUCCGAUCGACUACAUGGAGUUAUUCAGGGAAGCACAUGCUCAGAAUGGCUACUUCGUUUCGCAGAAUCAAAUGUUGGAUUUCUAGUCUCGGCCUACUCCAGAGGGUUUUCAACCACUCUCUAGGGAUGAGAUAUGCACGACCAUUUAAGGUAGAUGAUCGGACUACUCAAAAGGUCUUGGUUGGGGCCCCAAACUAAAGUUUCGACACACUGUUGGCAGUUCUUCAUCUACAUCUAUCGAGCGAGAAUAGGUCCACGCCAGAGAGGUUAACGAGCUAAAAACUCAUCUUGAGGUAGUAGAAGAAGAGAAUAAUAGGAAGCUCAAAGAAAGUGCUCGUUUGAUAGAAGCACGAGCUCAUUAUAGGAAGCACAGGCUUGGUAGAUAGAAGAAAUGAGAAAAAUGAUUGAAGACCUGUCCCGAGCUUCGAGAGAAAUCAUUAAGGUUUGAAGGCAUGAGGAAUUGUCAUGUGACACCGGUGCUUAGAUUAUACGUUUAGUUUUCUAUUUUUAUGUUUAAGUUUUUCGUUUUCAUUAUGUAUGUAAUUUAUGAGCUAUAAAGU